GCCUACGGGAGGCAGCAGUGGGGAAUUUUGGACAAUGGGCGCAAGCCUGAUCCAGCUAUUCCGCGUGUGGGAUGAAGGCCCUCGGGUUGUAAACCACUUUUGUAGAGAACGAAAAGACACCUUCGAAUAAAGGGUGUUGCUGACGGUACUCUAAGAAAAAGCAUCGGCUAACUCCGUGCCAGCAGCCGCGGUAAUACGGAGGAUGCGAGCGUUAUCCGGAUUUAUUGGGUUUAAAGGGUGCGCAGGCGGAGGUGCAAGUCAGCGGUCAAAUUGCGGGGCUCAACCCCGUACUGCCGUUGAAACUC
rnacentral:rRNA from 1 species